GAGAUAUAAAGGUAGUCUAACUAGUUGAGUUAGGGAAGAUCUUCUUUGGCUCAAUUGGUUAGAACUGCCUUUAGAUCCCGAGAUUGAGGGUUCGAAUCUCGCUGGUACCAUCCAUGGAUUUUCUCAUCAAUGGCGCUGCGAGCAUCUGCUACUUGUACAAACAUUGUAAAUAGAAUAUUGCCUGGCAGUGAGAUGUUAUAAUUGGUCAUGAGGAUUGACCAGCCGGUCAAAGGAUACCAUGACAGUUCUAGGUGACAUCUAGGGAACUGGCCAGA
rnacentral:lncRNA from 1 species